rnacentral:rRNA from 1 species
UACGAGGGGUGCAAGCGUUGCUCGGAACUAUUGGGCGUAAAGGGUUGGUAGGUGGUCUUGUUUGUCUAGGGUGAAAUCCCAUGGCUUAACUGUGGAAGUGCCCUAGAAACGGCAAGACUAGAGUCCUAGAGGGGUUUGUGGAAUUCCCGGUGUAGCGGUGAAAUGCGUAGAGAUCGGGAGGAACACCAGCGGCGAAGGCGGCAAACUGGAUAGGCACUGACACUCAACAACGAAAGCGUGGGGAGCAAACAGG